GACAGAGGUGCCAAGCGUUAGGCGGAAUCACUGGGCUUAAAGCGUGUGUAGGCGGAAUGGUAAGUAACCUUGUGAAAUCCCCACGGCUCAACCGGUGGAACUGCUCGGUAUACUGCUUUUUCUUGAGCCACUUAGGGGCUGUCGGAACAAACGGUGGAGCGGUGAAAUGCGUAGAUAUCGUUUUUGGAACGCCAAUGGUGAAAACAGACAGCUGGGAGUGUGCUG
rnacentral:rRNA from 1 species